AGAAUCAACGCUGGCGGCGUGCCUAACACAUGCAAGUCGAACGAGAAAGUGGAGCAAUCCACGAGUAAAGUGGCACACGGGUGAGUAACACGUGACUAACCUACCCUUGAGUGGGGAAUAACUGAGGGAACCUUAGCUAAUACCGCAUAACACCUAUGGGUCAAAGGAGCAAUUCGCUUAAGGAGGGGGUCGCGGCAGAUUAGUUAGUUGGCGGGGUAAUGGCCCACCAAGACAGUGAUCUGUA
rnacentral:rRNA from 1 species